CUUGGCUUAAGCCCUUCGUGUUCACAGCGGACCUUGAUUUAAUUUCGAUACAAUUAAGGCACGCGGUGAAUGCCAAGAGAGAAGCCACGUC
ensembl:miRNA